GUUCCCGCGCUUUUGUCACCCUCCAUUAUUCAUUUGUUAUGGUUUGGGAUAUUUAUUAUUUAAGAAAUUAAGACUAAGGAAUCCAACUAUUUCUAAAGGAUGUUAGUUAAGCUUGGACUUUUACUUCCUGAGAAGUGUUAUUUGAUGGCGAUUGUAAAGGAAAGGCAUGAGAACUGAACUCUAUUGGAGAGACAUCAUGAGGGGAGGAUUUGAUGGGUGAUGAUGUAACAUUACCACCAUUCUUAACUCCACCAAAAGAAGAGCCAGCUGGAGAUCUAACCAUUAAGGGGACAUGAAUUGGCCAGAGGUGGAACACAACCUGCCCAGCUUUGUCCACAGACCCACAAAAUGAGGCCUUAUUGGAAAUCCAUUCAUCUCCUCUAAUCAGCAUGGUACAGAUAAAGCUCCAAAUGAUUAUGCAGGUAAUUUUGGAAACAAAGCU